GACAGAGGGUGCAAACGUUGCUCGGAAUCACUGGGCGUAAAGGGCGUGUAGGCGGGAAUGUAAGUCGGGCGUGAAAUCCCUAGGCUCAACCUAGGAACUGCACUCGAAACUGCGUUUCUUGAGUAUCGGAGAGGAAAGCGGAAUUCCUGGUGUAGAGGUGAAAUUCGUAGAUAUCAGGAGGAACACCAGUGGCGAAGGCGGCUUUCUGGACGAUUACUGACGCUGAGACGCGAAAGCGUGGGGAGCAAACAGG
rnacentral:rRNA from 1 species